GCUUUCGUGGUGUAGCGGUAACAUUGGGUCUUCCCAUCCCCUGGAAACGUGUUUCUUCUCUUAACCUUAAGAAACGCGUAUCUUGGUUGGCCUAGCUCCGGGUUCGACUCCCGGCGGACGCA